AAAAAGGUAAUUUAAUGUAAAAUAUUUUGUUUCAAACAUAACUAUAGGUAAGUAUUACCUCCUUUUUG
rnacentral:tRNA from 1 species